rnacentral:rRNA from 1 species
GGGAACUGAAACAUCUAAGUACCCAGAGGAAAGGAAAUCAACCGAGACUCCGUGAGUAGCGGCGAGCGAAAGCGGAUUGCGACUUAAGUCAGUGAACGCGUUGGAAAGCGCGGCCAAAGAAGGUGAUAGCCCUGUAGUUGGAUGAUGUCGCUCAGCCCUAGAGUAGCGUCGGUGUCGUGAAACCCGGCGUGAACAUGGGGGGUCCACCCUCCAAGGCUAAGUACUACUUGACGACCGAUAGUUAACCAGUAAGGCGACUGAAUGAUGAAAACUACCCCUGCUAGGGGUGUGAAAGAGUAGCUGAAACCAUGUGCUUACACAGCGGUCAGAGCCCUUCGGGGUGAUGGCGUGCCUUUUGCAUAAUGACCCGGCGAGUUACUCUCAUUGGCGAGGUUAAGGCCUAGCGGGCCGAAGCCGAAGCGAAAGCGAGUCUGAAAUAGGCGUUGAGUCGAUGGGAGUAGACGCGAAACCUUGUGAUCUACCCAUGGGCAGGCUGAAGGCCGGGUAAAACCGGCUGGAGGGCCGAACGCACCAACGUUGAAAAGUUGGGCGAUGACCUGUGGGGAGGACUAAAAGUGUAAUCAAACUGGGAGAUAGCUCGUUCUCUCCGAAA